rnacentral:lncRNA from 1 species
CCCGGUGCGGCCUCCAGGGCCUCCCAAGAGGGCAGUCUUUCAGUUUUAAAUAAUGUGCUUAAACGUGUUGGGCAACGCGAGCACGGGGUAACGGGGCGCGGCCCUGGGUGAACGGGGUACCCGGGGGAAUACGUGCGGCGACACGGAGGGACGGAGGCUGCCCGCGCUGCGGUCCAGCGGGGCUGAGCGGAGGCAAGAGCAGGGCUGGUCCUGCCCCGUCCCCGGGCCGCUGCUCCGGCUGCUCCCCGCGCGUUCCCCUGCCUCCCUCCAGCCCCGGGCACCGCUCGAAGACUCGGUUUCUGGGGUGCGGAGACCCAGCCCCCUGCGCUCACGGGGUGCCCCCGCCACGACCCUGCGUGACCGGGCGCGGGGCGGGCUCCUUCGCUGUGCCCAGGCGUGGGGACCGAGGCUUCCCCGGCUUCGCUGGACUGUGAGCUGGCGGAGCGGAGGCGACCAGAGCACAGGCCGCUGCGUGUGGGGUCCGCUCCCGGCCACGCCCCGGAGCUUGGGAGAAACGAACACCGAAAGGCCCAGCGCAGAGGAAAACAAGCCCGAGAAGUCAGCAGCUGUCCGCAGCCUCUCGGUACAAAGACCCAAGCUGUACACGCGGACCACCCGAUCCGAGGCCACGUCCGCGGUUGUUCUUCCUGCAGGCAGCCGAUGCUGGGGAAAGGCAGCCGAAACCCAGUGGGAUUCUGACCACAGGCCACGCUCCAACUCAGCAAAGCUGGCCUUCGCCUUUCUUCAGUAGACACGGCAGGCGGUCUUUACGGAAAACACUCUUCUUCUGAGCAGCAGCGCUCUGAGCCUGUAUUCCUC